CCGAGAGGCCAGGUGUCUGAAGGAGGAGGUGCGCUUGAACGGGGUGCGAGCGGCGGACUCCCCGCUCCGCUCGGUGCCCACCGUGGCCGUCACCAAGUGCAGAGCCUCCUGGAAGGACCGCCUCACCGUGCCAACCCACUGAGUCAUGUGUGUCUGGGCCACCGAAAGCUUGUCGCCCAGGCAUCCGUGCGGGUCACGAAACAGGGACAGGACGGGUCAGCAGGGGGUCACCAGCAGGAGCCUCGAGUCAACCAACCAGGUCGUCCAGUUCUAGUCCCUGGGGCCAACCCUGAUGAAGUCAAGGGGCAGGUGGCUGUGGAGAACUGGGCGAGGGGGCUGGCACCCCAACUCACUUCCUCCGUCCAUGCAGGGAGAACUCCCAUGCACACCUGGGAGCCACCGCCCACCGCCGCUGGCCGCUCUCUCUCCAGGCUCUUCUGGCCUGAACUAGGCAGAUCUCCAGUCCUCAGGCUGGAGACUCCAAACGCGAAGCCGACUGAACCUGCCGCCCAGCAGGCAGCGCGCUCACUUCCGGAGAGGCAGCCACCCAGCCCGGGUCCCCUGGCCCGGCAGCCCGGAAUGACAUCAGCCCCCUGUCUUGGCGAGGGGCGCACAGCCCAGGAAUGCAGGAGGGGCCUCGGGAGGUGGCCGCCCAGGGAGCUGGCGUCAGCCCCAGUUUUUUUUUUUUUCUCCCCCUAAGUCUCAACUCGCUCGCUCGCUGUCCCUCGGGGACUUCAUGUGCCAGACUGCUUACCCACCCCAGGCAGCACCGUGCACGAACGCGGGUGAAGAAAUGCCGAGAGGUGGAUUCACAUGUCCAAGGUCACACAGCAAGAGCUCGAUCAAGGUGCUCUUGGAAAUGGCCCC